rnacentral:rRNA from 2 species
UACGGAGGGUGCGAGCGUUGUCCGGAUUUAUUGGGUUUAAAGGGUGCGUAGGCGGCUCGAUAAGUCUGGGGUGAAAGCCCGUUGCUCAACAACGGAACUGCCCUGGAAACUGCCGAGCUUGAGUACAGACGAGGGUGGCGGAAUGGAUACUGUAGCGGUGAAAUGCAUAGAUAGUAUCCAGAACCCCGAUUGCGAAGGCAGCUGCCUAGACUGUAACUGACGCUGAGGCACGAAAGCGUGGGGAGCGAACAGG